GACGAACGCUGGCGGCGUGCGUAACACAUGCAAGUCGAACGAGAGAGUGAGAGAGCUUGCUUUUCUUACGAUCGAGUGGCAAACGGGUGAGUAACGCGUAAACAACCUGCCCCGCAGAUGGGGACAACAGCUGGAAACGGCUGCUAAUACCGAAUACGGUCCUCUUAGCGCAUGGUAAGAGGAAGAAAGGGUGGCCUCUGGAACAAGCUACCGCUGUGGGAGGGGUUUGCGUCUGAUUAGCUGGUUGGAGGGGUAACGGCCCACCAAGGCGACGAUCAGUAGCCGGUCUGAGAGGAUGAACGGCCACAUUGGAACUGAGACACGGUCCAGACUCCUACGGGAGGCAGCAGUGGGGAAUCUUCCGCAAUGGGCGAAAGCCUGACGGAGCAACGCCGCGUGAGUGAAGACGGCCUUCGGGUUGUAAAGCUCUGUUAUAGGGGACGAACGGCCGGGUAGCGAAUAGGUACCCGGCAUGACGGUACCGUAAGAGAAAGCC
rnacentral:rRNA from 1 species